rnacentral:rRNA from 1 species
AGAUUGAACGCUGGCGGCAUGCUUUACACAUGCAAGUCGAACGGCAGCACGAGUGCUUGCACUCGGUGGCGAGUGGCGAACGGGUGAGUAAUGCAUCGGAACGUGUCCUGAAGUGGGGGAUAACGCAUCGAAAGAUGUGCUAAUACCGCAUAAUCUCUGAGGAGGAAAGUGGGGGAUCGAAAGACCUUAUGCUUUUGGAGCGGCCGAUGUCUGAUUAGCUAGUUGGUAGGGUAAUGGCCUACCAAGGCGACGAUCAGUAGUUGGUCUGAGAGGACGGCCAGCCACACUGGGGACUGAGACACGGCCCAGACUCCUACGGGAGCAGCAGUGGGGAAUUUGGACAAUGGGCGCAAGCCUGAUCCAGCAAUGCCGCGUGAGUGAAGAAGGCCUUCGGG